rnacentral:rRNA from 1 species
GACGAACGCUGGCGGCGUGCUUAACACAUGCAAGUCGAACGGAAAGGCCCUGCUUUUGUGGGGUGCUCGAGUGGCGAACGGGUGAGUAACACGUGAGUAACCUGCCCUUGACUUUGGGAUAACUUCAGGAAACUGGGGCUAAUACCGGAUAGGAGCUCCUGCUGCAUGGUGGGGGUUGGAAAGUUUCGGCGGUUGGGGAUGGACUCGCGGCUUAUCAGCUUGUUGGUGGGGUAGUGGCUUACCAAGGCUUUGACGGGUAGCCGGCCUGAGAGGGUGACCGGCCACAUUGGGACUGCGGGACGGCGCAGACGCCUACGGUAGGCAGCAGUGGGGAAUAUUACAGAAUGAGGGGGAGCCUGAUGCGGCAGCGCCGCGUGCGGGAUGAUGGCCUUCGAGGUGUGAACCGCUGUGGCCGGUGACGAGGCGGGAGUGACGGUAAUGGGUAAAAAAGCACCGGCUAACUACGUG